UACGUAGGGGGCAAGCGUUGUCCGGAAUCAUUGGGCGUAAAGAGCGUGUAGGCGGCCAUACAGGUCAGCUGUGAAAACUCGAGGCUCAACCUCGAGACGUCGGUUGAAACCGUAUGGCUAGAGUCCGGAAGAGGAGAGUGGAAUUCCCGGUGUAGCGGUGAAAUGCGCAGAUAUCGGGAAGAACACCCAUGGCGAAGGCAGCUCUCUGGGACGGUACUGACGCUGAGGAGCGAAAGCGUGGGGAGCAAACAGG
rnacentral:rRNA from 1 species